GUAGGGAAUAUUGGACAAUGGGCGCAAGCCUGAUCCAGCCAUCCCGCGUGAAGGAUUAAGGUCCUAUGGAUUGUAAACUUCUUUUCUCUGGGAAUAAAAAUCACGCUUCUGCGUGACCUGAAGGUACCAGAGGAAUAAGCACCGGCUAACUCCGUGCCAGCAGCCGCGGUAAUACGGAGGGUGCAAGCGUUAUCCGGAUUCACUGGGUUUAAAGGGUGCGUAGGUGGCUUUGUAAGUCAGUGGUGAAAGCCCGGGGCUCAACUCCGGAACUGCCAUUGAUACUGCUUAGCUUGAAUCAGGUCGAGGUGGAUGGAAUGUGACAUGUAGCGGUGAAAUGCUUAGAUAUGUUACAGAACACCGAUUGCGAAGGCAGUUCACUAGGCCUGUAUUGACACUGAGGCACGAAAGCGUGGGGAUCAAACAGGAUUAGAAACCCCGGUAGUCC
rnacentral:rRNA from 1 species